GAUGAACGCUGGCGGCGUGCCUAAUACAUGCAAGUCGAGCGAACGGACGAGAAGCUUGCUUCUCUGAUGUUAGCGGCGGACGGGUAAGUAACACGUGGAUAACCUACCUAUAAGACUGGGAUAACUUCGGGAAACCGGAGCUAAUACCGGAUAAUAUUUUGAACCGCAUGGUUCAAAAGUGAAAGGCGGUCUUGCUGUCACUUAUAGAUGGAUCCGCGCUGCAUUAGCUAGUUGGUAAGGUAACGGCUUACCAAGGCAACGAUGCAUAGCCGACCUGAGAGGGUGAUCGGCCACACUGGAACUGAGACACGGUCCAGACUCCUACGGGAGGCAGCAGUGGGGAAUCUUCCGCAAUGGGCGAAAGCCUGACGGAGCAACGCCGCGUGAGUGAUGAAGGUCUUCGGAUCGUAAAACUCUGUUAUUAGGGAAGAACAUAUGUGUAAGUAACUGUGCACAUCUUGACGGUACCUAAUCAGAAAGCCACGGCUAACUACGUG
rnacentral:rRNA from 1 species